rnacentral:rRNA from 1 species
GCGUGAGAAUCUGCCUCUAGGAUGGGGAUAACGGUUGGAAACGACCGCUAACACCCAAUAUGCCGUAAGGUGAAAAAUUUAUUGCCUGGAGAGGAGCUCGCGUCUGAUUAGCUAGUUGGUGGGGUAAGAGCUCACCAAGGCUUCGAUCAGUAGCUGGUCUGAGAGGAUGAGCAGCCACACUGGGACUGAGACACGGCCCAGACUCCUACGGGAGGCAGCAGUGGGGAAUUUUCCGCAAUGGGCGAAAGCCUGACGGAGCAAUACCGCGUGAGGGAGGAAUGCCUUUGGGUUGUAAACCUCUUUUCUCAGGGAAGAAGAUCUGACGGUACCUGAGGAAUAAGUAUCGGCUAACUCCGUGCCAGCAGCCGCGGUAAUACGGAGGAUGCAAGCGUUAUCCGGAAUCAUUGGGCGUAAAGCGUCCGCAGGUGGUUUCCAAAGUCUGCUGUUAAAGACUGGAGCUCAACUCCGGAACGGCGGUGGAAACUUGGAAACUAGAGUUCGGUAGGGGUAGCAGGAAUUCCCAGUGUAGCGGUGAAAUGCGUAGAUAUUGGGAAGAACAUCGGUGGCGAAGGCGUGCUACUGGACCGUAACUGACACUCAGGGACGAAAGCCAGGGGAGCGAAAGGGAUUAGAUACCCCUGUAGUCCUAGCUGUAAACGAUGGAAACUAGGUGUGGCUUGUAUCGACCCGAGCCGUGCCG